GUGAAUCAUCGAAUUUUUGAACGCAAAUUGCGCUUCCUGGCAUCCCGGGAAGUAUGCCUGUUUGAGGGUCAGUAUUAACAAAAAAUCGGUUUGGUUGCAAAUUGUGACGUUUCGGUGUUUGGGCCUAUCUUAAUUUUUUUGUUUAGGAGCCUUAAAAUUACCCUUUUUUGCGCAUUUUAAACCGUACUUAAAUUUUUUUUUAUUCGUCUAUUUUAAUUCCCAAAUUCUUAUUGAUUCCGA
rnacentral:misc_RNA from 1 species